AAGCACUUAGCGGACCUCGGGGCGAGGGUGGGUGCACGUGGGCCGUGAGCGCCUUACGCCGAGGCUCCUUGUGAGGGCCAUGUGCACAUUUCCUUUUCCAGCUGUUUCCCGGGGCUGUUGAUCAGAGAGAUUCCUUUAAAAGUUAGGCCCAUUUAGUGCGUUUCACGUUUAGGGGGUUUGAACUGAAAACAUCGAACCUUGUUCUCGGUUUAUUUUGCGGAAGACUUGAAAAACUUGUUUUGCUGUGGGUUUUAUUGUACUUUGAGAAGACAUGAAGCAAAUGUAAGUUGUGAACUGUUUUUUGCCCCCCCCCACCCCCCAUAUCUUGUACAGUGUGAUGAGGGGAAGGGUCCCGCUGGUCCCAGGCUCCGUUCUGUGCGCUGAGAGACCUGCUGCCCUGGGGGAUGUGAAGCUGAAUGAAAGUCUGUUCUUAUCAUUCUACACUGCUGAAGAGGUAAGUUGAUGACAACCUUUUUUUUCCUUUCUUUUUUUUUUUUUAUAUAGAAAUGCAAUAGACGAAGCUAAUAAAAUCCCUCCACUCGCUCGUUCCA
rnacentral:lncRNA from 1 species